CGCGUAGGCGGAGUGUUAAGUCAGAUGUGAAAGGUAACGGCUCAACCGUUGACAUGCAUUUGAAACUGGCACCCUUGAGUACUGGAGAGGCAAGUGGAAUUCCUAGUGUAGCGGUGAAAUGCGUAGAUAUUAGGAGGAACACCGGUGGCGAAGGCGGCUUGCUGGACAGAUACUGACGCUGAGGUGCGAAAGCGUGGGGAGCGAACA
rnacentral:rRNA from 1 species